CCGUCCGUCCGUCCGUCCGUCUGUCUGUCCGUCACACUUUUGCGUUUAGGUUUCGAAAAAUGCUCAUAACUUCUAUGUCACUUUAGAUGUAACCUUCAUAUUUGGUAAGCAUGUGUAUAUGGACAAGAUCUUUCCAUACGCACACACAUUUUGACCCCUUUGACCUUGACCUUGAACUUAGGGUCCGCGCUUAGAUUUCGCAAUCUGCGUUUAGGUUUCGAAAGGCGUUUUUCGGGUAGCUCUUGUUUCAUUUACUUGUGUAUUGUUGAUUGUUUUUAGUAUAUUUAUUACAAAAUUAUGAUUGUCUAACAAACUAUAUUUAUGUUGAAUUUUCCACCAAUAGUUUCAACUCCUCACCAAAUAUUGUGAAAGUAUUAAUCUCAUUAUUCACUCUCCAUUCUCCAUUGAAAGCGUGAUUUUGACAAACGAUGAUUGGAUAGUUUUGUAAAUUAACUUUUAAUGUAUGUGCACAUCUUGAAGCUAUAGUUGUGAUGAUGUGUUGAGUUAAAAUAAGUCCAAUCGAUUGCUUCCACUCUUUGCAUUCCAAGAGUACUUUGAUUACAUCUUGUUGAAUGAUUCAACCGAAUAAAAAUAUAUAUCAAGGGGAUUCCAUGACAAGGAUUUUUACAGAGAUUAUUUUGUUUUGUUUUUAUCAUUAUGCCCCCCUUCGAAGAAGAGGGGGUAUAUUGCUUUGCUCAUGUCGGUCUGUCGGUCGGUCUGUUGGUCGGUUGGUCUGUCGGUCUGUCCACCAGGUGGUUGUCAGACGAUAACUCAAGAACGCUUGGGCCUAGGAUCAUGAAACUUCAUAGGUACAUUGAUCAUGACUCGCAGAUGACCCCUAUUGAUUUUGAGGUCACUAGGUCGAAGGUCAAGGUCACGGUGACCAGAAAUAGUAAAAUGGUUUUUGAAUGAUAACUCAAGAACGCAGAUGCCUAGGAUCAUGAAACUUCAUGGGUAGAUUAAUCAUGACUUGCAGAUGACCCCUAUUGAUUUUGAGGUCACUAGGUCAAAGGUCAAGGUCACGGUGACCUGAAAUAGUAAAAUGGUUUCUGGAUGAUAACUCAAGAACGCAUACGCCUAGGAUCAUGAAACUUCAUAGGUAGAUUGAUAAUGACUUGCAGAUGACCCCUAUUGAUUUUGAGGUCACAAGGUCAAAGAUCAAGGUCACGGUGACCCUAAAUAGUAAAAUGAUUUUCGGAUGAUAACUCAAGAACGGUUUUGCCUAGGAUCAUGACACUUCAUAGGUACAUUGAUAGUGACUCGCAGAUGACCCCUAUUGAUUUUCAGGUCACUAGGUCAAAGGUCAAGGUGACAAAAAUCGUAUUCACACAAUGGCUGCCACUACAACGGACAGCCCAUAUGGGGGGCAUGCAUGUUUUACAAACAGCCCUUGUUCCUUUUUUAUUUACAAUAAAUCAGAUGUAUGAUGAAAGAUUUGCAAAAAUGUUGUCAUUUAUUAAUAUUAUGAAAAGUGUAUGUUUUGUGCAUUUUCUGCAUUAUUUUUCAUUAAUUAAUGAAGUAGUAAAGUUAAUUGUAUUUGUAUGUUCAAGAGCGACAGAAAUUGCAUAUUUGCAUAACACUAAAUUCAAAAAUACCAAUUUAGUAAAUAAAACAAUGUGGGUAAAAAAUCAAUUGUUUUGUUAUUCGAAAAGCACCCACAUGCUGGCAAAAAGAUUUUUCAAUACUAUUUUCAAUAUUGUAGAUGUAUGAUUGCCUGAAAAACAAACACAUGUUUGCUCACCUGAGCACAAUGUGCUCAUGGUGAGCUUUUGUGACCACCUUUUGUCUGUCCUUCAUAGUGUGUUGUGCAACGUCAACAUUUGCCUUGUUAAACACUCUAGAUGCCACAUUUAUUUGUCCCAAUGAUAUCUUCGACAAGUUCAAAAAUAGUUAUAGAUGGUUGAAAAACAUGGCCGCCAGAGGGCCGUGCAUUUUUCCUUAUAUGGCUUUAGUAAAAACUUUUUAACACUAAAAGUAAAAGUAAAAAGUGCAACCUUCAUGAAACUUGGUCAGAAUAUUUGUUUUAAUGAUAUCUUGGAUAAGCUCAAAAAUGGUUCCCGUCUGUUGAAAAACAUGGCUUCCAGGGGGCGGGGAAUUUAUCCUCGUAUGGCUAAGCAUAACCUUGUUAGCUCUCAAAAAGUUACAUUUAUAGUUCACUGUUUAUGAAACUUGGUCAGAACAUUUGUUAUACUGAUAUCUUGUGCUGCACAGAACAGGUCAGUUCCUUUGUAUCUCAGGUGAACAAAUUGGGGCCUUUCAGGCUCUCUUUUUACUUUUAUGUUACAUACUGAAAGUAUUACUGAAUGUGGGGCCAAGUACUGAAAAAAAACUGAAUGGGAUAAGAUAAUAUCGAGUUCUCAAUAAAAUCUCUAUUUACAAAAGAACAAAGGUGUAAUGCUUCAUUCUGGCAAAAUUCGUUUGCUGUCUUAUAUUCAUUUUUGCUUCUUCCUGUUGUAAAUUCUGAGUUUGUUUACAAAUUCAGAGAUUGAUUACAAAAACUGUUCUCCCCACCAAAUGUGUAAAGCAUCCGGUUGUGUUGUUAUAUUACUUCAAAAUGCAACUAAAACAAGUUAUAUUAUUUUAAAAUGCAACUAACACAAUGCAAACAAGCUCGUUUAUGUUCCUUUUUACUGUAUGUUUUUGUGUAAUUGUAAUGUAUUAGACUUUGGGACAUUAGUUUUUGCACACUUUGGUUUUUAUGUUGCAUUAAAGAUAAUGUUAGUA